UAUGACUUGACAAAUAAAAAUGAUAUAGAUUAUUGCAUAUUAGAAGCUGCAGAAAGAACUCCGCAAAUCAAUGGAAAAUGGCUUUCGGUCGCGAAUAGGUUGAAAUUUUGAUAUGUUGUAGUUUAAAGCUUUCUGAUUAAUAGUCCCAAUGUAGGCACAAGUUUCGCAAAUGGACCAUUUUGGUGUUAUUUAAUUUUUUUUCAUGCAGUGCUAGAACGAGCUUGCUUGCUAGAGCUACAUAGUGUCAAAAAAUUGAAAAGGACAACAUUUUCUGAUGAGCAAUAAUAACGACAUAUAUCAAUAUUAAACUGUUUUCUAUUUGCACUUAUUGUGAGCAGCUUUUUAGAAUAUAUGACGGCUGACGCGCGCGCAUGGAAAAAUCGAUAAUAUUGAUCUUUAUCGAUUAGAAAACCCGGGCCUAAACAAAAGGGGAACACGUGGCUGCGUAGCAAGUAGGAAGAAGAGAAGAGACACUUUCCUUCCGUCUAUCGUAAUGCUUAGUCAUCCUCGAAGAGUUUUGUUCUGUAUAUUAAAUUCAUUGCGUAAAUUUUUAUUUCGGAGUUUCGUCUUGUAUAUAUAUUAAAUUAUAAAUUCAUAGCGUAAAUUGUGAUUUCUACUUAUUGCGGACAGCGUCGAUUGCCGAAGAAACUUGUGCAAAGAAUUAUUCACCCAUGAAAUAGAACCCAAUACAACCACGUGGUUAUCGUAAUUGCCUCUAGUCUUGUCAGCCGAAGAACAGGUGUGAGUUUCCAAUACAAAACUCUGUCUGAACUUGAAAUAUAAACCUAAAGACAAAUUAACGAAAAUGCGGAAGAAGGGAAAAAAAACACUUUCGAUUUGGGAUUACUUUACAAUAAUAGAUGAAAUGCGUAUAAUGUGCGACUGUUGUGAUGAUACAUCAAGCAUACCUUCAAUGCGUGUGAUGUGCGACCUUUGUGGUGAGACAUUAAGCAUACCAAUUAUGCGAAAUACUCGCUUGGAAACAAUUCAUGAUCAAUCUACAUAAUCAAGCUAAAUGUAAGAAAACUGGUUCAAGUUCAAGCAGUGAUUUAAAUGAUACGGACAAUGAUACAGACAAAAAAGAUGAAACGUCAGGAAGACUCAGAAGCAUCAGGAACAAGUGAAGAAAAAAGUAAAAAAAUAAGUAAAGGAACAAGUGAAGGAAACAGUAAAGAAACAAGUGAAGAAAACAGUAAAGGAUCAAGUAAAGGAAUAAGUAAGUCAUAUGUCUAAAAUUAUGUCUUCAUUAUCACAAUAUCUUAACGAGUAAUUAUUUGCUUUGCACUUAUUACACAGUAUAACAUGUAGAUAAAUCUUGUGAAUUAAGCAUUGCCCAUUUUACAAAAGUAUAAUCUGUAUCGUGUCAUAUAAAGUAUUCAUUUAUGUAUUAAGACAAUUAAGCGUAUCAUUAACUAUAUGUACAUUAAUCAG